rnacentral:rRNA from 1 species
GAUGAACGCUGGCGGCGUGCCUAAUACAUGCAAGUCGAGCGAACAGACGAGGAGCUUGCUCCUCUGACGUUAGCGGCGGACGGGUGAGUAACACGUGGAUAACCUACCUAUAAGACUGGGAUAACUUCGGGAAACCGGAGCUAAUACCGGAUAAUAUAUUGAACCGCAUGGUUCAAUAGUGAAAGACGGUUUUGCUGUCACUUAUAGAUGGAUCCGCGCCGCAUUAGCUAGUUGGUAAGGUAACGGCUUACCAAGGCAACGAUGCGUAGCCGACCUGAGAGGGUGAUCGGCCACACUGGAACUGAGACACGGUCCAGGCUCCUACGGGAGGCAGCAGUAGGGAAUCUUCCGCAAUGGGCGAAAGCCUGACGGAGCAACGCCGCGUGAGUGAUGAAGGUCUUCGGAUCGUAAAACUCUGUUAUUAGGGAAGAACAAAUGUGUAAGUAACUAUGCACGUCUUGACGGUACCUAAUCAGAAAGCCACGGCUAACUACGCG